UCUAAGCGUGAAGCCAACUCUAAGAUGAAUCUUCUCUAAGCUCUCUAGAAGACUACUAGUUUGAUAGGCUGGGUGUGUAAUGGAUGAAAGUCCUUUAGCUGACCAGUACUAAUAGAGCGUUUGGCUUAUCUUUAAUAAAGCAU
rnacentral:rRNA from 1 species